rnacentral:misc_RNA from 1 species
GUAUUACAAGUGAAGUGGUGGAGAGUAACAAAGAGACUCUUUUGUGUAUGGAACUGGAAAACAAAUUGAGUUUUCCAUGGCAGAAAUUGGGGGUCUCACUGUUGAUCUGGUUCUCUCUCUUUUCUUUAUCUCCUUCAUGGCAAUCGUUACGGAGAGGUUCUAUAAAGCAAAAAACAAAUGAAGAAAUAGAACUUACCUGGUGAUUUUCAUUCACAUCUCAAAAUAUACGCGGAGCAUUGCACCAAUGAAGCCAUGUGGAGUAGAAUAUGGUUCUCUCUUCACUUCAACUUCCUCUUGCAAUAAUUUUCACAGCAUGGAUUCUACUGAGAAAACAGAACUGCCAAAAUCAAACUGAAAAGCAGAAUUCCUGCUUGAAGGACAUGGAAGAUUCAACAAGAUGCAGAAUGCCAAACAGGUUCAUUUCCCGAUAAUGGCACUAUUAGCAGGAAUACUGGGUGGAGUUUUUGGUAUUGGAGGUGGAAUGCUUAUCAGUCCACUUCUUCUUCAUGUAGGAAUACCACCAGAGGUAACUGCAGCAACUUGUUCCU